UACGGGGGGAGCAAGCGUUGUUCGGAUUUACUGGGCGUAAAGGGCGCGUAGGCGGCCACCGCAAGUCGGUUGUGAAAUCUCCGGGCUUAACCCGGAAAGGUCAAUCGAUACUGCGGGGCUAGAGUGCAGAAGGGGCAGCUGGAAUUCUCGGUGUAGCGGUGAAAUGCGUAGAUAUCGAGAGGAACACCUGCGGCGAAGGCGGGUUGCUGGGCUGACACUGACGCUGAAGCGCGAAAGCUAGGGGAGCGAACGGG
rnacentral:rRNA from 1 species